rnacentral:rRNA from 1 species
GAGGGAUAGUGGCGAACGGGUGAGUAACACGUUGGCGACCUGCCCCGAAGUGGGGGACAACCACGGGAAACUGUGGUUAAUACCGCAUGAGCUCCAGAGGGUUAGAGGCCUCUGGAGAAAAGCUCCGGCGCUUCGGGAGGGGCCUGCGGCCUAUCAGCUAGUUGGUAGGGUAAUGGCCUACCAAGGCUAAGACGGGUAGGGGGCGUGAGAGCGUGGCCCCCCACAAUGGAACUGAGACACGGUCCAUACUCCUACGGGAGGCAGCAGUGAGGAAUAUUGCACAAUGGGGGAAACCCUGAUGCAGCAACGCCGCGUGGGUGAUGAAGGCCUUCGGGUCGUAAAACCCUUUUCUGGGGGACGAGAAAGGACGGUACCCCAGGAAUAAGUCCCGGCUAACUACGUGCCAGCAGCCGCGGUAACACGUAGGGGGCGAGCGUUAUCCGGAUUUAUUGGGCGUAAAGCGCGUGCAGGCGGCCUGGUAGGUUGGACGUGAAAGCUCCUGGCUUAACUGGGAGAGGUCGUUCAAUACCGCCAGGCUUGAGGUCGGAAGAGGGGAGUGGAAUUCCCGGUGUAGUGGUGGAAUGCGUAGAUAUCGGGAGGAACACCUGUGGCGAAAGCGGCUCCCUGGUCCGCACCUGACGCUCAGACGCGAAAGCGUGGGGAGCGAACGGGAUUAGAUACCCCGGUAGUCCACGCUGUAAACGAUGGAUGCUAGGUAUGGGUGGUAUUGACCCCAUCUGUGCCGUAGCUAACGCGUUAAGCAUCCCGCCUGGAUACUACGGCCGCAAGGCUAAAACCCAAAGGAAUUGACGGGGGCCCGCACAAGCGGUGGAGCAUGUGGUUCAAUUCGACGCAACGCGAAGAACCUUACCUGGGCUUGAACCGCGGACGACAAUCCUGGAAACAGGAUCUUCCUUCGGGACGUCCGUAGAGGUGCUGCAUGGCUGUCGUCAGCUCGUGUCGUGAGAUGUUGGGUUAAGUCCCGCAACGAGCGCAACCC